rnacentral:misc_RNA from 1 species
GCAAGCAAGGAGUUCAGGUUGUUGCAGUAGAUCAUAGGAUUAAUUUCCUUCCAUGCUGCAGUUCCUAUUUGUUGUUUCAGAUCAUUGUAUGGCACCGUUUGGGGUUUUGUAUAUCAGGCUCUAAACUUUUUGAUCAGCCAAAGUAUUGUACAGUAGAAUAGAAGCUAAAGAACAUAAGAGAGGCAAGCAAUAAUAUUAUUUGAGAGAGGCG